CCUACGGGAGGCAGCAGUGAGGAAUAUUGGUCAAUGGCCGCAGGGCUGAACCAGCCAAGUCGCGUGAGGGAUGACGGUCCUAUGGAUUGUAAACCUCUUUUGUCAGGGAGCAAAGGGCGCCACGUGUGGCGCUUUGCGAGUACCUGAAGAAAAAGCAUCGGCUAACUCCGUGCCAGCAGCCGCGGUAAUACGGAGGAUGCGAGCGUUAUCCGGAUUUAUUGGGUUUAAAGGGUGGGCAGGGGGAAUGUAAAGUCAGCGGUAAAAUUUCGGGGCUAAACCCCGUCGUGCCGUUGAAACUGGCGUUCUUGAGUGAGCGAGAAGUAUGCGGAAUGCGUGGUGUAGCGGUGAAAUGCAUAGAUAUCACGCAGAACUCCGAUUGCGAAGGCAGCAUACCGGCGCUCAACUGACGCUCAUGCACGAAAGCGUGGGUAUCGAACAGGAUUAGAUACCCUGGUAGUC
rnacentral:rRNA from 1 species